GCUCCAGGAGCUCCGGCGCCAGGGCAGCGCGCAGCCGGAGCCCCGAGCCGUGCAGGUAGCCAAGCGUGGCUCCUCAUGGCCAACUUUGCUGGGAGCUACUCCUGCUGCCUCUCACCGCCCAGCGGGUGCUGCUGGGCUGCUGGAGCUGCCCGUGCCCAGCGCCGGGACCCAGCCGCCUCCCGGUACCCACUGGAGGGUGCUCUCUGCCAAGGUUUGCGCCGUGGAUGCUUCUCAGCAGCUCGAGGUGAGGAAAAAAACAAGGGAGCGGCUGGAGCUGGAUCUGUGAGAGACAGCAGCGGCCCCUCCUGGGCACCAGGCAGGACCCCCACAAGCCCCAGGACCAGCUCCAGCCCUCCAGCCCUCACCCCCACGUGUUGGUUUUCCCAGCCAGGCUCUGCCGUGGGACAGUGGCUGCUCCUGUGCCCCAGCCCUGGGCAAACCCCUCCAGCCCCCUGCUACGGCCGUGCCCCUUCCGUGGCCUCAGAGCUCUGCCUUGGAACCCGGAGCCUCCUGGGCCACCCUUGGUGUGACUCUGGCGAGUUCCUUUCCUGCUCCAAAGCCUGUCAGCUGCUGCAGUCCCCCUGCUCUACCCCAGCCUUCCCAGUGGUGCCAGGCAGAUCCAGCACGGACAUCCAGGGCUCUGCUCACACACGAUCUCCUGGCCCAGGACACUGGGACAGGACAGGGAACAGCCCCUGGAUCAAGAUUUUCUCCCCCACAAUUCACUUUAUUUCCCAAGCUACACACAGAUUUUUCAGAAAUAUCCCCAGGCAGGCACAUGGAUCCAGCUCCCACCACCUCCCAGUCCCUGAUAAAGAUUAAUUGGCACAGCCAAUACCCCGAGGGUGUCUCUGCAGCCAGGUCUGGUCACUGAUGCCAUUUGCUACCAAAACGUGCUGCAGCAUCCCCUGUGCUUGGCUCACACAUAGUGCUAAUCAUUACAGCAGCUCCUUUUCCCUCCCAGUUCACCCCCUCCCACCCUGGCAGUCCCCCAGUGUAGUCCAGGGGCUGGGCUUUGUGCUCCUGAAAUGCAGGUGCUGAAUAACUUGUUCAUUUGAGGGAAUGUUCAGCUACAAACUCGUCCUCCAGCUCCCUUGGCUGUUUGGAGAUGCAAUGGGAAUUUGGGUUCAAUUAACUUCCCUCUGUGUCAUCUGUGGGCUGGGCUGCACUGUCCAGCCCUUCAUCCUUUCCAGAUUGCUGUGGAAAAUAUUAGUGUGCACAGUGGUGAGAUCCACGGUGAAAGUGUUCAUGAAAAAAUGAAUAUCAAGCCUCUCAGUUUUCUGUUCAUGUAAUUUUUUCCAUACAGACACCGCUCCCCUGGCUCUUACCUGCCUGCAGUCCUGCAGUCCCCUGGCCACCCCAACCAUCCACAGCUCCUGCUGGGAGCAGGAGCAGGACCUGGGAUGUUUUGGAGACACUGACAAUUUUCCAUCACGGAAUCCAUGUCAUCCCAUCUGUGCUCCAUUAGCCUAUUUUUAAUCACAAUUUGAAGGCAUUUUCCAGGAACAAACACAGACUCGCUGGCCUGUGACUCCUUCAAACCCUGGUGAUGUUUUGGUUCCAGGUGUGUGGGUUGCUGCCAGGUAGAGCAGAGGCUGCAGCAGCAGGAUGAAUGUUCAUGGAAUCAUGGGUUUGGGUUGGAAGGAGCAUUAAAGGCCAUCUCAAUUCCAUAGGGCCCUGGGGGGGAUGGUCAGUACAUUAAAAUAAAUAGUGUUGCUUUUUGGUAUCACAACAGAUAUUUCUAGAACAGAAAUUGGUAUCCAGCACCAACACAGAACAUGGAAGGAAGGGUUUGCGUCCAUGCUCAGCCCUGGGUGGCUCUGGUGAGCUCCUGUGUGAGGAUGUUCCUGUCACCUCCCCUGGUGUCCCUGCACGGUGCCUGGCAGUGCUGGGCACAGCUCUGGGCCCUCUCCUCUGGGUGUCACUGUGCCAUCGCUGCCGAGCUGCCGAGCAGCGCUGCCUGCCAGCGGAUUUGGCUCAGCAGAGGGAAGGAAAAUAUUCCUCAUGGCCUGACACACUGCCAGCACUGCUGACAACCAGGAGUCUGCAUUUGGGUGCUGCUGCCCCUUGGCCUGUUCUUUUCCAGUUUGCUAAAACCCGGGACCUCGCUCUGGUUCUUUUCUCUGCCUCUGCUCAGGCUCCUCCUGGGCGGCUGCUGGGGCUCCGAGGGGCUGUGGGAACUCCCGGAAGUGCAGAGCUGGUGGAAGCAGGCACGGAGGAGAGGACCUGCCACGGCAGUUCUGACGUUUAUGUCCCAGCAUUUCCGGCCAUUUCAAACUCAGCGCUCCAGCUGCAAACAACCAGAAGAGGCAUUCGAUGCUGUAACUUGUGACGCUUUCAUUCCCCGUCCCCUGUUAGCAUGAGCUGGGCACCGUUUCAGAAUUAGCAAUGAUGUUUCCUAAGGGAGUCCAAAUUCCCGUGGCCCAAAGAGAAGGAGGUGAUGUUCUGAAGCAGCAUCUCAUGGUGGCUGAGGAAGGAAUGACCAUGUCCGUGCCAGGUUUUAGUUCAGGGGGCAAAUUGUGUGCUCAGCUCCUGGGCAGGGUCUGAACUGUGUGUCCCACCCCACAGGGUGUCCCUGGGUGGGAUGGGAUGGGAUGUCCCUGAGUGGGAAGGGAUGUCCCCGGAUGGGAUGGGAUGUCCCCAGAUAGGAUGGG